rfam:Lepisosteus oculatus linkage group LG5, whole genome shotgun sequence.
GCCAGCAGCCAUAUCACCCUGCCACUCAAAACUGGUAACCCACGGAAGCUAAGCAGGUGUGAGCCUGGUCAGUACCUGGAUGGGAGACCUCCUCGUAAAAACUAAGGUUGCUGCUGGAA